AAGGUUAGAAUAAUCGAAAUUGUCAUUAUCACCCAAUACCAAAAUCCGCAAUCACUUAGUUGCCAACCCAAUAAUUCAUAGCCAUGGCCACUGCAUGAGAAAAGAAUUCCUGAAGCCAAAGAAAAUGAUACAUCCAAAUAGCAGAAAGUCUAUCGCUAUUACGAAAAAAGUCAAAAAAAAAUCAAAUAGACAGAAAGCAAAAGUGUCCCGCUUGAUAAAACAGAAUUCAAUAGGAGAGAAAAUAUCGUGAAUCAGAAACAAUAUGAAUCCAGGUGUGUGUCCUUAUACUUCAGAGUUAACUGCAAGUUUGUUAGAAACUAAGGUAAAACAAAGAUGUACGUAGCAAGAAAUGAUGAAGAAACGGAACAAAUUACUAUUAAAAGAUCUAUAGGUAACAAUAGGAGUAGACAGCAUGCCAGCAGGGAACGUGUAAUUGGAAUAACCAAGUAAAGAGAACUAGGAGAAUAUGAUACAUGUGGAAUAGAAAUUCCUGACAUUUUAAAUGCAACUCAGUAUGAAAUGUUAAUGAAUUGGAAGAAUGAAUUACAGUAUGUGAAUAAUUUUAAAUUUAUAAGGUUUGGUGACAAAGAUUUAAACAAAAUGUUAGAUAUUUACAUAUUACAAUA